GCUGGGUGUGCUGGUGCACAUCUGUUAUCCCAGCAGCUUGGGAGGCUGAGGCAGGAGGAUCAUGAGUUAAAGCCAGCCUCGG
rnacentral:sRNA from 1 species